CUCACUAUUAUACUUACCUAAUACGAAACCAAUUACAAUUAAUUCUCAAACUCAAAAGCUCAUAGACAUUCGAGGCCUAACGAUUAAUAGUUCAGCUAUUCAAAAAAAAUAAUACUCGUGUCUUCCAAAUACAUGAAUUUUGAAAUAGUGAUUAAUUAUAAGAAGCUAAGCUACACUAGGACUAAACUGAUGAAACAACAUUUAGAUAAUUCGAGUUGUAGCAGUCCAAUUAUACACCAAUCAAUUGUUUAAGCAGUUCAAUUACACAUAAAAUGCCAAACUAGGCAACAACAAGCUAAUUCUUCAUUAGUUGACUUCAAGUGUUCAUACAUGUUGAUUCAGUUCCAAUAUCUCUUGAAUUUGAGAACAUACCUGGACAGAAUAAAAUAAAGAAGAGGUAAUCAGCUAAAUAGUGAAUAGCAGCAGCUCAAACUCCAGGAAAUCAAAUCAGUUUUGAAUCAAAAAACACCACAAUAGACCCAGGACUGAUUGACAAUAGAUUACACACCACACAGCAAAUAAAACUGGACCAAACUCCACUCGAAAUCAACCACAAUUCCUUGAAUUUGAACUAAGCCAGAUUUAAUAGAUGCUUAAGCCAUUUCCACCUUCUGUGAUAAUAAUUUUAUCUAGAGCUAGAUUUCAAACUUCGAUUCUAAGGAAUUUCCAAUGCAACAGUGUUAUUUUGGAUUUUUUUUUGAAGCUUUUUGUUGUUUUUUUGUUUUGUUUUUCCUUUUGAAGAAAUUAAAAUCUAAAAGAGUAUUUGAAAUGAAAUUUGAAUUUUAUAUCUGGAGACUUGAAGAGUAUUUUUUUGGGGAAAUUUUUGAGGCUCCAAAACUUGUAAACUAAGGCACUGAGGCAUGCCUUUUAUAGGCAA
rnacentral:lncRNA from 1 species